UUGUGCUUAGUUUGUUUAGAAGCCAUCGUCAUCUUCGCUACCACUUCGUCUUCUUCCCUCCGAUCCCGUAGAAACCGAUCCCCCUCUACACAAUCAAUCCCAUCCUUUACUUUGAUCAAUCAAUUUCGUCUUGAUGAUUUUGUUUCAGCUCCCUCUGUUCCUCCUUCUUUAUAUACUGAUCCUCUUUUCUUUGUACAAACCCAAACCCUGUUUAUAUGAUCAUUUUUCACUGAUUUAAAUCUCAGCUUUCUGCCGGCAAAUGUUCUGUCGCCUUCCAUUUCAACGACGUCUCACCAGGACCUGCCGAGUCAGAGCUUCGAUUUUGGCUAAUCCAGUUGUGGGAUGGAUCCUUAGAACCAGGGGAGGGGGGGUCUAGGUUCCUGCUUUGAAAGAAUCGGUUUCACGUAUUCUAGAUUGUUAAGAGUUCUGGCGUUUUCUUCAAAUAUGCUGCAUCCGGUUAAGCUCAUGAUCUGAAUGAUACCCAGUUUACUAAACUGGAUGAGCUCUUCACUCAGACCCAACUCUACUCUGAAUUUCUUCUUGAGAAAAUGGAGGAUAUCACAAAAAAUGGGACAGAAGGUGAGACCCAAAAAGCUGAGCCCGAGAAGAAAGGAGGUCGUGGACGCAAAAGAAAUGCCGCUACUCAGGUGCUGUGGAGAUGAGAUGGGUUCAUACAUAUUUUCCAUUUACUGAGCUUUCGAGCUUGAGAUAUAUUUUUAAGGAAGACUGGUGAGAAGUUUCGGGCUGUGGGGUGACAGAACAAAGAAUUUUGAAGCAGAGUGGAUUAGAAAAUAAUGUUGCUUGGGACUUUGGACUUGGACUUAAUAGAAAGACUCGAAAAAGACCUGCAAUUACAUACCUUUGAACCCUCGCCGUUGCUACAAGUAUACUAAGAAUUUGUAACUGAAUGAUUUUGUAAAUUAAUUCACUUCCAGAGGAGGCGUUGCAUGGCUUGAAUUUGACAACCAGGGAGUAUUCUAUCUGUCACAUGAUCAGGAUGCUUGACCGUUCAUGACUUUGACACUCAAUAUUACCGCAGAAGAUAAUGCCAAGGCAGUUGGAAUACCUGUUAAGGAGUUGAAAGUGUUCUCCAAGAUCUUUUAAAGGAGAUCACCAUGCUUUUAACCUUUAACAAACUUCAGUGAAAAUUAGCAGCUUUACAAGUGUGGGGAUACAAAGUCUGCAAGAGGUAUUAUGCCCUGCGAGAACUUAAGAAACUGAUUGAGGUGGCAGAGAAGCUCCGUGAGAAGAGGUGGCCUUGAAAAUUCUGUUUAGAUUAGUUUCUGGUUUAGAUUGAGUUAGAUUUCUUUUUUUUAAUUUGGUUUAGUGUAAACAUAUUAUUUUGGUUUAG